UUCACUGGGAAAAAUAUAUUUACAAUUGAAUAAAGUAAUUAAAUUAAAUAAAUGCCUAAGGAAAUACUUAAAUCCCCAGAUUUUCGUCUAAUAUAAAUUUGAGAACAUUAAAAGCCGGGAGCAAACUCAAAAAAAAUUAAAAAUUGUCAGAAAUCUCCCAUACUUCCCCCUCCAUGGCGGCUCAGGAGCCAAGUUGAAAAGUUGUGAUUGUUUUUCCUUUUUUUUUUUUUUUCAUUUUAAUGUUUUUAAAUUUUUUUUUUUCCUGCUCUGAAUGAAUUUCCCAACUUCCAGAGCACAUGCUCCCGAGCUGGCAGCUCCCUGCUGUCCUUCCCCUGUGCUCUGCAAAGCCCAGGAAGGUCCUGGGAAGGUGCUGGAGCUCCAGGGGUUAAAGGAGCUGAACUUGUCAGGAUGUUUUUGUGUCGUCUGGAGGAGUUGUUUGUUGUGCUGUGGGUGCUGCAGGGUAUCAGUCACUCUGAAGGAGAGGAUGUCCAGGCAGUGCCACAGCAGACAGUGACUGGCACUGGCACUAAAUCAUUGUGUCAAGGCUCUGCUCUGCAGCAGCACAAAGGGAAUCCUGGUGGGGUUGGGAAGGAACUGGAGCCUUUGGGAUUGGCCAGCCCGCCUUGGAAUGAUCAAUUAGGGCUCGUUAAUUGCACUCAGUGGCAGGGUGGGCAGGAGGAAUCAGCCCUGCCUCUCCCUUGGUGCUCUGGGAUACUUUCGGUACAAAGCAGGCAAGGGAAAUGUUUCUGCAUGUCCUUAGGAAGGAUGAGAGAUUUGGGAUUGUUCAGCCUGGAGAACAGAAAGCUCUGGGGUGACCUUGGAGCUCCUUGCAGGGCCCGAAGGGGCUCCAGGAGAGGGACUGGGGAUGGAGGGACAGGAGCCAGGGAAUGGCUCCCACUGCCAGAGGGCAGGGAUGGGUGGGAGAUUGGGAAUUGGGAAUUCCUGGUUGGGAGGGUGGGGAGGCCCUGGAAUGGAAUUCCCAGAGCAGCUGGGGCUGCCCCUGGAUCCCUGGAAUGUCCAAGGCCAGGCUGGACAGGGCUUGGAGCUUCCUGGGACAGUAGAAAGUGUCUCUGCCAUGGCAGGGGUGGCACAGGAUUAUCCUUAAUGUCCCUUCCAACCCAGUGCAGUCUGGGAUUCUGUGAUAAAGUUCUGCCUGAGUAGGCUGAAAUUCCACAUCCCAAAGGAAUCAGGGAGAUCUUUAUAAAAUACUGGAUGCUUUGCUCUCAUGUAUAUCAAGGUUUAACUUUUUGAUUCCUCUCAGGCAGGUGUGUAGCAAAGUAUGAACACGUGGGCUAACACUUGACCUCCAAGUGGGAGCAAAGAGCUUUUCAGUUCCAGGCAUAAAACCUAAAAUUUAAAAUCUAAAAUUCGGUGGAUCCAGAAGUGUUACAUUUCUUAAUGCUAAAGCCAAUUUAAAGAGCCAAAAACUUCUGUUAAUUUGCAGAUACUGUGGUCUGUAAGGAACCUGAACAGCAACUGGGGCCAGGCCCUGCUCUAAAGACAGAAAUCCUGGGAUUUGUUAGGGAUGAAGGAGGAAAGUGAUGGAGUUGGACUUUGAUGGGUCCCUUCUAAUUCCAUGAUUCUAUCCUAUUCCAUGAUUCCCUAGGUGACAGGUGUGAGGAGGAUAUUCCAUGAUUCCCUAGGUGACAGGUGUGAGGAGGAUAUUCCAUGAAUCCAUAGGUGACAGGUGUGAGGAGGAUAUUCCAUGAUUCCCUAGGUGACAGGUGUGAGGAGGAUAUUCCAUGAAUCCAUAGGUGACAGGUGUGAGGAGGAUAUUCCAUGAAUCCAUAGGUGACAGGAGUGGGGAGGAUAUUCCAUGAAUCCAUAGGUGACAGGUGUGAGGAGGAUAUUCCAUGAAUCCAUAGGUGACAGGUGUGGGGAGGAUAUUCCAUGAAUCCAUGGGUGACAGGUGUGAGGAGGAUAUUCCAUGAUUCCCUAGGUGACAGGUGUGAGGAGGAUAUUCCAUGAUUCCCUAGGUGACAGGUGUGGGGAGGAUAUUCCAUGAAUCCAUGGGUGACAGGUGUGAGGAGGAUAUUCCAUGAAUCCAUAGGUGUCAGGAGUGGGGAGGAUAUUCCAUGAAUCCAUAGGUGACAGGUGUGAGGAGGAUAUUCCAUGAAUCCAUAGGUGUCAGGAGUGGCUCAGGCCACCCCAAUUUCCAUCACCCCUGAGACCAAGCCCACAGAUCCCUUUUCUUGGCAGGUAACUCAAAACUCCCUUUUCUUGCCCGAUAACUCAAAAGUGCUGUUUUCCUUUCUGCUGCCUGCUACCCAUGAGCUCUGCCGCCCCAAAACCUGAAAAAUCCCCAAACCUACACCCAAAACAACCAAACACCCCCUGGGGAGAAGCCAGCAGGGAGAUUCCUGCCCCUGGGAGAAGCCUCACAAGACACCUGCAAAGCCUCUUUCGUUUCUCCCGGACUUUUUCUUAUCGGAGCCGUUCCUCAAUCCCAUUUUUCUUUCAUCUCCUGCUGUUCACCUGGGGUUCCUCCCACCCUCUCUGCUCCUUCCCUGGAGCCUUUCCUUGCCAUUGAUUGCAGAGCAGUGCCAAGGCGUUUUGGCAGGGGAAGGGAUGCAGAUGCCUGCGAGAUGCCGCCGGGAGGCUGCGGGGACGGGAGCAGGGAGGAUCCUCGUGCCUGCCUUGGGUAACCCCAGCUCAGGAAUCGAGGUGCCACUCA